UGGGCCGGCUCAGCACCCCAGGACGUGCAAGGCUCAGGGUCCAAGGUCAAGGUGUCCUAGGAUUGCUUCUUCCACUGCGCGUAAUCUUCGCAAAGUUCAGCCGUGUGGCGCGCGUCGAUGCUCACCUCCUUUUCCCGGCCGAGUGACCCUCCGUUGUGCGGACAGACCACACGGCGUCUAUCCAUUUCCCAGAGCGAUGACGCCGUUUUCCGUCCCCCGAGCAGCGUCCGGGACCACGUGCCCCAUCCCGCCGGCCUUGCAGCCCUUCUGAUGGGUGAGGGGCGACGCCUCUUUGCGGUUCUGACCUGCAUUUCCACCACGACGAAGACAUUCAGCACCUUCUCCCGUGCUGAUUGGCCACCUUCAUAGCUUCUCCGGAGAAAGCAGCAAUGCGUUGGAAAAUAAUCAGGCAGCCCCGGAGGCAGCGGGGUGUGGGCGAAGCAGUCGGGGCUCCGGAGGCUGGAUCCCCGGGUUUUAACGGGUCCUCUGAGCCGGCUGGAAAGUCUGGAGCCAGACACAUCCCUCGCUGAGGUUCCUGGCAAGCAAAGCAGAACCACACGAAACUCCCAGAAUGCUGGCAGGUUAGAGGCAGCGCAGGUCUAGAAUCUGGUGCUAGUAGGUGCUUGCCGAGUAGUAGUAUUCUCGGGAGGCCCGGCAGGCUGUGGGGAGAGCGAGUGACUCUUGAUCUCGGGGUUGUGAGUUCGAGCCCCACGUCGGGCUUGGAGCUUACUUAAGAAUGAAUAAAUACCAAUCAAAAUUAAAUGAAAUAAAUAGG
rnacentral:lncRNA from 1 species